rnacentral:rRNA from 1 species
AGACAGGUGCUGCAUGGCUGUCGUCAGCUCGUGUCGUGAGAUGUUGGGUUAAGUCCCGCAACGAGCGCAACCCUUGCCUUUAGUUGCCAGCAGUUCGGCUGGGCACUCUAAAGGGACUGCCGGUGUUAAACCGGAGGAAGGUGGGGAUGACGUCAAGUCCUCAUGGCCUUUAUGACCAGGGCUACACACGUACUACAAUGGCCGAUACAAAGGGCAGCGACACUGCGAGGUGAAGCCAAUCCCGUAAAAUCGGUCUCAGUCCGGAUUGGAGUCUGCAACUCGACUCCAUGAAGUUGGAAUCGCUAGUAAUCGUGGAUCAGCAUGCCACGGUGAAUACCGGUUCCCGGGCCUU